UACGGAAGGCAGCAGUGGGGAAUAUUGCACAAUGGGCGCAAGCCUGAUGCAGCCAUGCCGCGUGUAUGAAGAAGGCCUUCGGGUUGUAAAGUACUUUCAGUCGUGAGGAAGGUGUUAAGGUUAAUAACCUUAGCAAUUGACGUUAGCGACAGAAGAAGCACCGGCUAACUCCGUGCCAGCAGCCGCGGUAAUACGGAGGGUGCGAGCGUUAAUCGGAAUUACUGGGCGUAAAGGGCACGCAGGCGGUUAAUUAAGUUGGAUGUGAAAUCCCCGGGCUUAGCCUGGGAAUGGCAUUCAAGACUGGUUAGCUAGAGUCUUGUAGAGGGGGUAGAAUUCCAUGUGUAGCGGUGAAAUGCGUAGAGAUGUGGAGGAAUACCGGUGGCGAAGGCGGCCCCUGGGACAAAGGACUGACGCUCAUGUGCGAAAGCGUGGGGAGCAAACAGGGAUUAGAUACC
rnacentral:rRNA from 1 species